UUCGCGAUAAACCACACUUUUGGGGACGUAACUUCAAGUGUGUCACCGCUCGACAUACUCCUCGGAACCCGAAGGAGAGAACAGCUCUGUCUAUCUUCCAGUAUGUGGGCGUUCACAACUUUACGUUCACAGUUUCAAUGGGAGUGAAGGCUGUUACCCAAUACGGUUACAAAACUCCGAAUGCACUUGAAUACGACUUGAUGGGUAACAGGAUACUUAUUGAACUUGUCAUGUUCUCCAAUGGUGGUACCUGCAAUCUCCUGAGCGU
rnacentral:lncRNA from 1 species